rnacentral:tRNA from 1 species
UAGCUCAGUCAGUUGAGCAUAGCGCUAACAACGCUAAGGUCGCGGGUUUGAUUCCCAU